rnacentral:rRNA from 1 species
CAGCCGCCGCGGGAAUACGUAGGUCCCGAGCGUUGUCCGGAUUUAUUGGGCGUAAAGCGAGCGCAGGCGGUUAGAUAAGUCUGAAGUUAAAGGCUGUGGCUUAACCAUAGUACGCUUUGGAAACCGUUUAACUUGAGUGCAAGAGGGGAGAGUGGAAUUCCAUGUGUAGCGGUGAAAUGCGUAGAUAUAUGGAGGAACACCGGUGGCGAAAGCGGCCCUCUGGCUUGUAACUGACGCUGAGGCUCGAAAGCGUGGGGAGCAAACAGGAUUAGAUACCCGCGUAGUCCCUGUCUCUUAUACA